CCUGAUGCAGCGACGCCGCGUGAGGGAUGACGGCCUUCGGGUUGUAAACCUCUUUCGACAGGGACGAAGCGCAAGUGACGGUACCUGUAGAAGAAGCACCGGCCAACUACGUGCCAGCAGCCGCGGUAAUACGUAGGGUGCGAGCGUUGUCCGGAAUUACUGGGCGUAAAGAGCUUGUAGGCGGUUCGUCGCGUCGAUUGUGAAAACUUGCAGCUCAACUGCAAGCUUGCAGUCGAUACGGGCGGACUAGAGUACUUCAGGGGAGACUGGAAUUCCUGGUGUAGCGGUGAAAUGCGCAGAUAUCAGGAGGAACACCGGUGGCGAAGGCGGGUCUCUGGGAAGUAACUGACGCUGAGAAGCGAAAGCAUGGGUAGCGAACAGGAUUAGAUACCCUGGUAGUCCAUGCCGUAAACGGUGGGUACUAGGUGUGGGUUUCCUUCCACGGGAUCCGUGCCGUAGCUAACGCAUUAAGUACCCCGCCUGGGGAGUACGGCCGCAAGGCUAAAACUCAAAGGAAUUGACGGGGGCCCGCACAAGCGGCGGAGCAUGUGGAUUAAUUCGAUGCAACGCGAAGAACCUUACCUGGGUUUGACAUACACCGGAAAGCUGCAGAGAUGUAGCCCCCCUUGUGGUCG
rnacentral:rRNA from 1 species